UGAAAAUUUUAGCAACUGGGCCACCAUCUUGUCCCAGAGACUAUCUGCACCCACGUACUAUCCAGGAGGGGUGCUUAUUGUCAGCCAGGUGGUGAGUAAUGCAGUUCCCAAACCCCAUGUUACUGCCUGUUUUUUCAGACCACUCCUGGAACCAACCGAGUCAGCUCAGGUGGUCUGGGAAGCAGAUGCUGAGACAGAAUUAGGAGUGCAAGAGGUUUAUUGGGUGGUAAUAACUGGGAAAGAUAAAGGGGAAGGAGGCAGGAAUAGGCAGGGAAAGCCUUUGAUGCAGAUUUGGUAUCUGCGAAAGGAAAGGAUGUAGGAAACAAAAUUGGGCCAGGAAAACCUCAAGCCAUGAUGCAGAUCCUUCCAAUCCAAUGUCAACCCAAUGGAAAGCUCCAGAUAAAAGAGUGUCCUACAGGAGUCCAAUAGUGGCCAGAAAUGGCCAGGCCCUAAUACCCACACUGUGCCUAGUCAAGGGCUAGGGGCUGCUCAGGUAGAAUGGGGCCUUAGCUCUGACACGGUAAUGGAUCCCAAAGGUAAUGUAGUUGCAGGCUGACAGCUAACUGCACUCUGGUAGUUGAAUGGCAGAUUCUUUCUUCUUAUUAUUAUUACUUAUUAUUUCUUAUCUUUCUAAAAAUUCGGAUAAAGAAUCUAAGCAAAUCAAGCAAUGAGUGGGACUCUGCUGAAACUCUUUGUCACCACGGAUUGUGAGAGAAACUGGGGCUUCAGGAAUGUGUGUACAGGUUUAAGUUGCCAAGCUUCUGCCUCCUUCACUGAUGAGGAAAGGAAAGUGAGACGGGAGGUGGAAUCAGCUGUUGUUUGGGUGUGCGAAGGAAAGCUGGCUUUCUCCUCAGAAUGGCAUUUUACCAACUCAGAAAAAAAAAAAGAUUAUGCAGAAGGAAUCUGCUCCUUUUCGUUUCCAUCAGAAUUGAAAAUAUGUAACCUUCUUGCUCUUUUCUUCUUUUAAAUGAUACUCUUGAAUGUAUACUGGAGACUUUGAACAUACUGGAAUUUAGUUGCUCAAGAGUAUUAGAGGUGGGGCAGCUGGGAUGAUAAAGGGGUUAGAGGUGCAGGGCGACUUGAUGAGCUUCCAGAUGAGUCUUUCCCUUGUCAGGGAGUGACUCUGAUUAGUCUGAAAAGGUUGCUUGGAAUUCUUUGUCCCAAACAGUCACCCUGUUAUGUAUCAGAUAUGGUUACACUUACUCAUGUUCCCAGCCCAUGAUAAAAGGAGGAGCUGGAAGAGAGAACAUGACUUUUUUCUCCAAGAAGCUCAAAGGAAAUAAUAUAAUUAUGGAAUCUGGGAUCAUCUUUUUAAUAUCUCAGAGGAAACUGAGUCCCAGAGAUUUUAGGAGACUUGGCUAGAAUUACAGCUUUCCCAGAAGUAAAAUUAGAAUACAGGUCUCUUGACUCCUAACUCAGUGCUCUGCCUCAGUGAUGUCCACUCAUAAAAUCUCUGUGGAAAGAGUGAAGGACAUGGGUCAGAAAGAAUGAAACAUCUUUUGAGGACUCUUGGAGAUGCUGAACCCAAAAGUUGGAAGACUAUAUCAAGUGAGUAUAUAAAGUGACCAUUUCUUAUUAUCGCCCCUAAUAAUACCCAUAAAUAGAAAUUUUAUUCAACCAAGAAAAGCCUCAAGUGUUCGUUUAAUUACAUGUUAUGAUUGCUGUUGAAGAGCAAAUUAUUUGCAAACAAAGCUUGAGAAAGAAAUGAUGAGUAAUGUGCUAAAAGGACAUCAGGGUGGGUGAUCCUCUUCUUUCCCCUCCCUUUGGCACCACUUCAGUGUAGGGCCCACCUCAAACAAGCCUUGCCACUGCCUUUAUCAUACUGACCUAGAUCAACCUUCUGGAAAGUACUGCCACUUUCUUGCUUAAAAACCUUCAAGUUCUCCAUUAUGUACCAAUAAAGCCCACAUUCCUCAUCCUAAUAUUCAAGGCCUUACAUCAUCUGUCCCAGAGUCUAGCAGUCCAGUCUUAUUUCCCACUACUCCCCUGUCCCUGUGCUCAGCCUGUGGGAUCUCCUUUCAGUUCCCACAACAAACAACACGCUUUCCUGCCCUGAGGCCUUUGCACAUUUUCUUGACCCCAUCCCUCCACCCACUUCAUCUACCUGUUUUCCAAGGCCCAGAUUAGAUACCACCCUAUUCUAGUUGACAGGGAGACUUGGUGGAGCUUUUCACUUUUGCCAUUCAUUUGGCACUUAUCAUAUCCCUCCUUAGGCUUGGAGGUAAUUCCGGCAGGUCCAAAACUUGUUCACAAAGUCUCUGGCCCUCAGAAUUACUCUUCUCUUUAGCAGCUGCAGCAACCUGGUGAACGCAAGUUAUCCGACUCAACUCCCUCAACUUCCAACUCCUUCCUAGCCGGUCUUCCAACUCAAGUUAUAGAACACGGACUUUUCCUCUAGGUCCAGGCUUUCACUGUUCUCUCUCUCCUUUAUUUAUUGAAUCUUGCUUACUCUUUUGGCUUGCUCCCAAAGUAUAACCAAGUCUCUUCUUCCUAAAAACAAAAUGAACAUGAAACUUCUCUUUUCUUUCACCUUCCUUUUCCUUAAGUCAAGGUACACUCUCUCCUUCUCUUUUCUGAUACACUUCUCUUAUUGCAGUCUGAGCUGAGGGUCUGCCACUCUACUGAAAUGGACAUUUGGAAGAUCAACCAAAACUUCUAAAUGCCAAAUUCCAGUCUCUGCUCCUCCUUGAACACCUGUCUUCCUGGGACUUUUUCACCUACUUCUCUGACUAUUCCAUCACUGAUUUUUGGGUUUUCCCCACUCAAGGUUUGUUCUUUGGUCCUCUUUGCAAACUUUUGCAUCUAUGAGGAUAAUUCUUAGGUUUGUUUCUACCCCUAACUUCUCUUCUAAGCUUCCUUUCCAGUUGUUUUCUAGACUUUGUGUAUGUGUGUGUGUGUGUGUGUGUGUGUGUGUGUGUGUGGAUGUCCCACCUACUUCUCCAAGACAGUAAGUUCCAAAGUUAAUUUAUUAUAUUCUUCCUCUUCUAGGUCUUCCCCAAGCCUUUUUUUUCUGUCUCCUUUCCUUUCAGUCUCAGCCAAUGGGGUGCAUCACCUCCUUUCAGUUAUUUACCUUUAAUUUCUCUUCCUGGGUAUCCUUCCCUGCUGCUUCAUUUAGGAACUGGUCACAGAUUAACACGUGAUCUUUGAGAAAAUGAUUUCAGUAGAGUUGUUAGUGGUAGUGGUGAUAGUCUGGGGGAACUCAGGAAAGAAGUGAGGAAAGAACUGUGGUGGGGCUGGCCUGGUGGAUGGUGGUGAAGUUCGUGAGCUCCUCUUCAGUGGCCUGUGGUUCCUGGGUUGGGAUCCCAGGUGCAGACCUGCUCACCACUCAUCAAGCCAUGCUGUGGUGGUGUCCCACCAGUGGAGGCCAGGGGACAGAGAAUCCUAGAUUGGGGUUCUGGCUCAGGCUGGGGAAAAGGAGACGACCCGAGGUGGAGGAGGCUCUGACAUCGGAGGACCGGAGAGAUGUUUUCUGCAG
ensembl:lncRNA